rnacentral:rRNA from 1 species
GACGAACGCUGGCGGCGUGCCUAAUACAUGCAAGUCGAGCGGACUGGAGGGAGCUUGCUCCCAAAGGUCAGCGGCGGACGGGUGAGUAACACGUGGGUAACCUGCCUGACAGACUGGGAUAACGCUUGGAAACGAGUGCUAAUACCAGAUAGGCUGCUUGGUCGCAUGACUGAGCAGGGAAAGAAGCUAUCGCUUCACUGUCAGAUGGACCCGCGGCGCAUUAGCUAGUUGGUGAGGUAACGGCUCACCAAGGCGACGAUGCGUAGCCGACCGGAGAGGGUGACGGGCCACGCUGGCACUGGGACACGGCCCAGACGCCUACGGGAGGGAGCAGUAGGGGAUCUUCCACAAUGGGCGAAAGCCUGAUGGAGCAACGCCGCGUGAGCGAUAAAGGGCUGCGGGUUGUAAAACUCUGUCUUCUGUGACGAACAAGCCUGUGAGUGGAAAACUCAGGCCCUGACGGUAACAGAGGAGGAAGCCACGGCUAACUACGUGCCAGCAGCCGCCGUAACAC